rnacentral:tRNA from 1 species
AUGUAGCUCAGUGGCAGAGUACUUGGCUAGCAUGUGAGAGGCUCUGGGUUCAAUUCCCAGUAU